ensembl:snRNA LOC120096466 U6 spliceosomal RNA
GGAUUUUGGCAACACAUAUAUUAAAAUCACAAUAAUACAGAGACUAUUAGCAUGACCCCUUCCCAAGGAUGACACUCCAUCAUCAUCACCAUCAUCACCAUCAC